rnacentral:rRNA from 1 species
CGAGCCUACGGGAGGCAGCAGUGGGGAAUAUUGCACAAUGGGGGAAACCCUGAUGCAGCGACGCCGCGUGAGUGAAGAAGUAUUUCGGUAUGUAAAGCUCUAUCAGCAGGGAAGAUAAUGACGGUACCUGAGUAAGAAGCCCCGGCUAACUACGUGCCAGCAGCCGCGGUAAUACGUAGGGGGCAAGCGUUAUCCGGAUUUACUGGGUGUAAAGGGAGCGUAGACAGCAUGGCAAGUCUGAAGUGAAAGCCCGGGG